rnacentral:rRNA from 1 species
UUCUACUCCUACGGGAGGCAGCAGUGAGGAAUAUUGGGCAAUGGGGGCAAGCCUGACCCAGCCAUGCCGCGUGCAGGAAGACUGCCCUAUGGGUUGUAAACUGCUUUUAUACUGGAAGAAUAAGGGGUACGUGUACCCUGGUGACGUACCGUAGAGAGAUCGUGCC